rnacentral:rRNA from 1 species
UACAGAGGCGGCGAGCGUUGUUCGGAUUUACUGGGCGUAAAGGGUGCGUAGGCGGCGGCGUGUGUCGGGUGUGAAAUCCCCUGGCUCAACCAGGGAACUGCAUUCGAAACUGCGUCGCUCGAGUACCGGAGAGGAGAGCGGAAUUCUCGGUGUAGCGGUGAAAUGCGUAGAUAUCGAGAAGAACACCGGUGGCGAAGGCGGCUCUCUGGACGGAUACUGACGCUGAGGCACGAAAGCUGGGGGAG